rnacentral:lncRNA from 1 species
UUCAGAUCCUCUCUUCAUUUGAAGCAUCCAAGGCUUUUGAAGAAAAAGGGAGAAAUCAGCCCCCAAGAUCCUUGCAAGCUAGCAGUUUCAAGGAGCUUGAUCUGCACCGAUCUUCAUGUGGAUAAUCUGUAGAGGUUGUACUGUUAGAAAGGGAAGGACAGAUUACAUAUAUGUAUUUCAAAACUAUUUUGAAAUUAUAGUGGAAUAAAAUAGAUUAACUAUUUUUAUCAUGCAUUAAAUUAGAUCUAAAAUCUUUCCUAACAUGGAUCUAAGACAUAUGAAAUCUAAAAUUAAUUUAUGAGAUCAGAUCUCAUACCUUAUC